UGUGGUUCAGUGCUUUGACAGUCAUAAUAAAGCAAGAGAAAGAAUACAUAUAUUGAUGGUGGGUGAUGCUCAAUGGGUGAAGUUCUGGGGGUUGAAACCUGAGUUUGGAGCCCAGGACCCAUGUAAAAGCCAGGAUCAUGGCAUUGCAGGGCCUGCAAUCUCUGUACUGGGAAGGCAGAGAUGCAAGGGUCCUUGGAGCUUGCUCACUAGCCCUCAUAGCUGAAUUUGUGAUCUCUAGGUUCAGUAAGAGAUCCUGCCUCAAAUAUAAGGUGGAGACAGUGUGGAAUAUACCUGAAGUCCGAACCUGUGGUUUCUUCAUGAACACACUCUUAAAUAUACAUGCGAACACACACACACACACACAUACACACACACACACACACACACACACACACACACGCACGCACGCACGCACGCACGCACGCACACAUGCAUGCACAUAUUCACACACACACUUAUACAGUCAGACACAUAUACAGACACAUACUGGAAUGGAUAAACAACAGGACUUUAGAACACACUGUGCUAAAAUCUACACUAGCCUUCCCAUCUGGCACAUGUCACGGUUGCCUCCCCACUCCUUUAGAGGUUCCGAGACAGAGCAGGAACCUUUUGCUGUCCUUUAUUCUCUGAGGCCCUGAACCUGUUCUCCUUUUCCUCAGAAUGGGGUUUCUCAGUGUGAGGGGAAUCCAUACCCUCUGUUGCCAUCCAGCCCUCUUCAGACAUCUAUAGAAGGCAGGCGCUUGUCUACUCUAGGUAGAGAAGCUGGUGGGGAUACUUGUGGUCCAGCAAAACCUCUUCCUGUUUCUCAAGGCGAGCAGUGUUCAUCUAGUACAACUUUCCGUCAUCUUGACACAUCUAUAUUUGUAAAUUAGCUAAGCAAAGUACUUCACUUAUGGAAAGCAUACCUCUUGGCAUUGGUUUAUGGAUUUAUGGAAUUUAAAUUUCCGGCAUAAUUAAGGCAGAUGCAUUCACCCUAGUCUAUGGACUCUGCUUCUACAGACAGAGGUGCCAUGCCUUUAAUGUUGCUUGGUUGUUUAUUAUUAUUAUUAUUAUUAAUUAUUACUAUUAUUAUUAGUGGUGUUGUUCUGCUGAUGAUAUCUGUGAUCAUGUGAGGAUAGAUUUAUUUCCUGGGAUAUUGUAUAUAUCCCACCCUUUGUUCAUCUUUCUGUCCUGAUUCAGGAAAUACUUUGUUUAAACCAUUAAUAUUUCAUGGGAAGCAUCGGACAGGACUUGGUGUCCUUGAUUUGAAAUCUAGCUGGUAUUAAGUGCUAGUCCUCCAGUGAGAGGCAACUGCCCUCUUUACAGUGAGGAGUUAGACAAGCGAUGGUAAAAGCAUAAGUGGACACAUUUUGUUUGUGGAGACAGGACCUCAGGUUCUUUCUAUUGAGGUGUGCUAGUCCAGUUAAGCUGCUUACGCAUACAGAUGUGCAUAGCAUGUUUGACGGCCAUCCCUCUUCUCCCUCCGCUCCUUUGUUCCUGGCAUCCUCUCAAAUGUACUAAAUGGAGCAGCUACUUAGGGAUGAUUCAGAAAAGGGCAUCACCUUGCACAUCUUAUUUUCCUUGAAUUUGAUGGCAUGCAUAGAGAUUUUUGCAAUGGAAAAGAAAGGGUCAUGAACUUAAUUUAUUAAAGCUCUUAAAAGU
rnacentral:lncRNA from 1 species